rnacentral:rRNA from 1 species
AUUGAACGCUGGCGGCAUGCUUUACACAUGCAAGUCGAACGGUAACAGGCCGCAAGGUGCUGACGAGUGGCGCACGGGUGAGUAAUGCAUCGGAACGUGCCCAGUCGUGGGGGAUAACUACUCGAGAGAGUAGCUAAUACCGCAUACGAUCUAUGGAUGAAAGCGGGGGACCGUAAGGCCUCGCGCGAUUGGAGCGGCCGAUGUCAGAUUAGGUAGUUGGUGGGGUAAAGGCUCACCAAGCCAACGAUCUGUAGCUGGUCUGAGAGGACAACCAGCCACACUGGGACUGAGACACGGCCCAGACUCCUACGGGAGGCAGCAGUGGGGAAUUUUGGAGAAUGGGCGCAAGCCUGAUCCAGCAAUGCCGCGUGCAGGAAGAAGGCCUUCGGGUUGUAAACUGCUUUUGUACGGAACGAAACGGCUCUGGUUAAUACCCGGGGCUAAUGACGGUACCGUAAGAAUAAGCACCGGCUAACUACGUG